rnacentral:siRNA from 1 species
CCAUAUUAGACUGUGGGCUUCCA